GCUCCGCUAUGCAAACUGGCAAAGCAGCCGUGUUCAGAGCGCGGUGUUUCUCGGUUCGACCCCGAGGCGGAGUGC
rnacentral:tRNA from 2 species